rnacentral:rRNA from 1 species
AACGAACGCUGGCGGCAGGCCUAACACAUGCAAGUCGAACGCCCUGGCAACAGGGAGUGGCAGACGGGUGAGUAACGCGUGGGAACGUGCCCUUCGGUUCGGAAUAACUCAGGGAAACUUGAGCUAAUACCGAAUACGUGCGAGAGCAGAAAGAUUUAUCGCCGAAGGAUCGGCCCGCGUCCGAUUAGCUAGUUGGUGAGGUAAUGGCUCACCAAGGCGACGAUCGGUAGCUGGUCUGAGAGGAUGAUCAGCCACACUGGGACUGAGACACGGCCCAGACUCCUACGGGAGGCAGCAGUGGGGAAUAUUGGACAAUGGGCGCAAGCCUGAUCCAGCCAUGCCGCGUGAGUGAUGAAGGCCCUAGGGUUGUAAAGCUCUUUCACCGAUGAAGAUAAUGACGGUAGUCGGAGAAGAAGCCCCGGCUAACUUCGUGCCAGCCGCCGCCGUAA